AGAGAGAGAGAGAGAGAGAGAGAGAGAGAGAGAGAGAGAGAGAGAGAGAGAGAGAGACAGGUCAGAGAGAGCGCGCUGGCAAGCGAACAGAGAGAGGGACAGGGGCAAAGUGACUGACCUGCUUUUGGGGGUGACCGCCAGAGCGCGGCGUGAGCCCUCCCCCUUGGGAUCUUGCAUCGGACCAGUCGCGCUGACGGACAGACAGACAGACACCGCCCCCAGCCCCAGCGCCCACCUCCUCGCCGGCGGGCUGCCGACGGUGGACGCGCCGGCGAGCCGCGAGGAGCCGAAGCCCGCGCCCGGAGGCGGGGUGGAGGGGGUCGGGGCUCGCGGGAUCGCACGGAAACUUUUCGUCCAACUUCUGGGCUCUUCUCGCUUCGGAGUAGCUGUGGUCUGCGCCGCGGGAGACAAACCGAUCGGAGCUGGGAGAAGUGCUAGCUCGGGCCUGGAGAAGCCGGGGCCCGAGAAGAGAGGGGAGGAAGAGAAGGAAGAGGAGAGGGGGCCGCAGUGGGCGCUCGGCUCUCGGGAGCCGGGCUCAUGGACGGGUGAGGCGGCCGUGUGCGCAGACAGUGCUCCAGCCGCGCGCGCGCCUCAGGCCCCGGCCCGGGCCUUGGUUCCAGAAGGGAGAGGAGCCCGCCAAGGCGCGCAAGAGAGCGGGCUGCCUCGCAGUCCGAGCCGGAGAGGGAGCGCGAGCCGCGCCGGCCCCGGCCGGGCCUCCGAAACCAUGAACUUUCUGCUCUCUUGGGUGCACUGGACCCUGGCUUUACUGCUGUACCUCCACCAUGCCAAGUGGUCCCAGGCUGCACCCACGACAGAGGGAGAGCAGAAGACCCAUGAAGUGGUGAAGUUCAUGGACGUCUACCAGCGAAGCUACUGCCGUCCGAUUGAGACCCUGGUGGACAUCUUCCAGGAGUACCCCGAUGAGAUAGAGUAUAUCUUCAAGCCGUCCUGUGUGCCCCUGAUGCGGUGUGCAGGCUGCUGCAACGAUGAGGCCCUGGAGUGUGUGCCCACGUCUGAGAAUAACAUCACCAUGCAGGUGGGCACCUGUGGCACAGGGGACUGGGGGCCAGGAGGACAGGGGGGCACGAGGAGGGGCACUAGAAGGUUGUCUGGGCCUCUGCCUGGGAAACUUUUGGUAG